rnacentral:rRNA from 1 species
UACGGAGGGUGCGAGCGUUGUCCGGAAUCAUUGGGCGUAAAGGGCGCGUAGGCGGCGCGGUAAGUCACUUGUGAAAUCUCUGAGCUUAACUCAGAACGGCCAAGUGAUACUGCAGUGCUAGAGUGUGGAAGGGCAAUCGGAAUUCUUGGGUGUAGCGGUGAAAUGCGUAGAUAUCAAAGAGGAACACCUGAGGUGAAGACGGGUUGCUGGGCCAACACUGACGCUGAUGACGCGAAAGCCAGGGAGCGAACAGG